GACGAACGCUGGCGGCGUGCCUAAUACAUGCAAGUCGAACGCUUCCUACCGGUGCUUGCACCGGGAAAGAAGAGUGGCGGACGGGCGAGUAACACGUGGGUAACCUACCUACAAGCGGGGGAUAACAUUCGGAAACGGAUGCUAAUACCGCAUAGAUCUUUUGUCUCCUGGCGGAAAGAAGAAAGACGGUUUCGUCUGUCACUUGUAGAUGGACCCGCGGCGCAUUAGUUAGUUGGUGAGGUAAUGGCUCACCAAGACGAUGAUGCGUAGCCGACCUGAGAGGGUGAGCGGCCACACUGGGACUGAGACACGGCCCAGACUCCUACGGGAGGCAGCAGUAGGGAAUCUUCCGCAAUGGACGAAAGUCUGACGGAGCAACGCCGCGUGAGUGAAGAAGGUUUUCGGAUCGUAAAACUCUGUUGUUAGAGAAGAACAAGGAUGAGAGUAACUGCUCGUCCCUUGACGGUAUCUAACCAGAAAGCCAUGGCUAACUACGUGCCAGCCGCCGCCGUAA
rnacentral:rRNA from 1 species